rnacentral:rRNA from 1 species
CGGAACGGGUGAGUAAUGCGUGACCAACCUGCCCCAUGCUCCAGAAUAGCUCUUGGAAACGGGUGGUAAUGCUGGAUGCUCCAACUUGACGCAUGUCUUGUUGGAAAGUGUUUAGUGGCAUGGGAUGGGGUCGCGUCCUAUCAGCUUGUAGGCGGGGUAAUGGCCCACCUAGGCUUCGACGGGUAGCCGGCCUGAGAGGGCGGACGGCCACAUUGGGACUGAGAUACGGCCCAGACUCCUACGGGAGGCAGCAGGU